CCGCACCGCCGCACCGCCGCCCGCGCCCGUGCGCCCGCCGCUGUCCGUGCACGCUCAGGCCGCGCGAUCCAGCCGAUCCAGCUGCUGUUCGCUUCUGUUCCAGCUCCGUCCAGCCAUCUCCGGCCACCUCCGGCCACCGCCCAACCCCGCCGGACCUCCCCCGCGACCCCCUCGCCCUCCGCCGGCCUUCCCCCGCCGCCCUAGCCGCCGGAGCUGCU
rnacentral:lncRNA from 1 species